AACAUCUCAAAUAAAUUUAUUUAAAUUUUUUAUGGAAUAUUCAUCGUUAUUAAAAGUAAUAGCUUGUAGACUAAGGCAUCUAGUGUUGCACUAUAUAUGAUGUAUGAAAAUGAUGAUAUAAAUAUAAGUGAUAUGCAUGGUAGCAUUAGCUUAUGCAUAUGUUACUAUAUAUGCAUCUAGUGUUGCACUAUAUAUGAUGUAUGAAAAUGAUGAUAUAAACAUAAGUGAUAUGCAUGGUAGCAUUAGCUUAUGCACAUGUUACUAUAAAUACUAGGACAUUGCAUUUGUAAAAACUCAAUUUAUUAGUGUAUGAUAUAAUAAUAUGAUGGUAUUAGAGUCAAUUUCUUCUGCUUUAAAUUAUCUUAAGUAAUUUUCAGUUACGGUUAUUAUCAAUUUCAUGGAUUCUAACCACCUAUUUUUCCUUGAUUCUCCAUGGUCGAACCUUCGUAUCUUGUUACUGUUUCAUCAUCGGGAAGUUUAGUGCAGAAUAGACAGAAUUUUUCGAUCAAUCUAGCAGAUUCUUCUUCUUCCUCGCAUUAAUUCGGACCGUAGAUAUCCAUCAAAUUGCAGGAUAAUAACUACUUGUUAUAGAAUCAACAAGUUAAGGAAGUGAUUCUUGCUCAAAGAGUGCACAAGAUAGUGGUGAACCCUUAGAUUCCACAAAGAUUCAAAUUAGAACAAGGUCGUGUUAAACAUAAAGUUUCAAAUGAAUAUGAGGCGUGGAUAGAGCACGAUCAAUCUAUUUUCAUAUGGCUUCUUUCCACCAUCUCUAAAUAUGUGUUACCUCGCGUGUUAUCAUGCACGCGUACAUUUAAAGUGUGGGACAAGAUUCACAAUUAUUUCAACGCACAUGAAAGCUCGCGUUUGGUAACUUCGAGCCCAAUUGAAAUAUAUCAAGAAAGGUAAUAUCUCCAUCACUAAGCACAUGCUUAGUGUUAAGGAAAUCACAAACUCGUUAUUAGCUAUUAAAGAUGUUUUUCAGAGCAAGAACAAAUUAAUUCAAUUCUUAAUGGCUUUCUAGAAAAGUAUAACCCUUUCGUCAUGCAAAUGUAUGGUACCUCUGAACCUUAAAUGUUGUAUGAUGUGGAAGUUUUCCUCUAUGCGCAAGAGGCUUAACUUGACAAGUUUAGGCAGGACCUAGUUGUGUCAACUGUCAUCGAAAAUAUGGCAAAUGCAAAUAAUCAAAUAGGUGGUGUCAAGAGAAUGUUGUACAUAAUCGAGGUAGAGGUUACAUGACUCAGGGAAGAGGUUAUGGUAGAGGUUGAUUAUCAACUGGUACAAGACCUACAUGUUAAUCAUGUGGUAAAUAUGGCCAUGUUGUAGUUGAUUAUUGGCACAGGUUUGAUAAGGCUUUCACACCUACUCAAACUUAGUCGAAGUUGACAAAAUUUCCAGGUGCCUCGACUGACAAACUAGAAGCUUUCACAUAUAAUUCUCAAGAACUAGACAUGAUGAACUCUACACAUGCAUAUUCGCUUCUCAUCACAUUACCUCUGAUUCAUCUUGUUUGUGUUGUCAAUGGUCAAUCCUUAGAAACUCACUAUGUAGGUUCCUCUUGUGUGUUUUCGAAAUCUUAUGUAGGACACAGUCAAGUUUGUGUUGCCAAUGGUCAAUCCUUAGAAAUUCAUUAUGUAGGUUCCUCUUGCGUGUUUUCUAAAUCUUAUCCUUCUAUUUCACUUAAAAUUAAUGAUACUUAUUAUGUCCCUUGCAUCACAAGAAACUUACUCUUAGACUCAAUUUUUUUAGACAUAAUUGUGUUGUGUUUGAGUUCAUUGCUGACAAAUGUUACAUCAAAUCUCAGGUUUCUAAACUCACUCUACUUGGAGGCUUUCUUCACUCAAUCAGAUUGUAUUGCUUUCCACAGCUGCUAUUGAAGUCUUCAAGCAUAUCUUCCCAUAAUCAUCAUAUUUCAUUUUCUUCAUACAUAAAUAUCAAUUCUAUAUCUUUCUCUAUUGUUUCUAAUGUAACUAAUCCUAGCACUAGUUUGUGGAACUAUAGACCAUGUCAUGCCCAUUUUCCUGCUAUUAAACUUUCUCUCAAAUAUUGUAAUACUCAUAUUUAAAAUAAAGUGAAUAUUAUGUAUGUAAA
rnacentral:lncRNA from 1 species